AUGGCGAUGCCGACGAACCAGGUGAAGAAGGAGACGACGACCCAGCCCCAUACGAGGCUGGCCGGCCCGGCGUACUGGAGGCUGCUGCCGUACAGCGGCGUGAUCCCCGUGAAGAGCGUCAUCGUCGAGAAAGAGAUGGCCAGCGUCUUGAACAGCGUCUGCACCAACAACACAUGCAACGAAAGAUCUCCAUCUCUUGAGAAACCAGGAAAAAUAGAAGGCGGCAAAACGAAACGCAAUUGGCAAGCCGGUCAUGCAAGAUCACAUCACGCCCUCUACGGCACGGACGAAGAAAAUUAG
rnacentral:rRNA from 1 species